AAGAAUCUACAGGUCGAGCAAGUCUCGUAAAUUUCACGAUUGCGAGCCACGCUUCACGCAACCGUGUUUGCGUACUUGUGUUUCGAGUUGCGUGGUCGUGCGGAGUUAUAUUUACCAAAUUUAAAUAUAAUCGUUUCUACUGAUUCAUAAUAAUAUAUGUCAAUAUGGCUACUGGGUGUAAAAGAUAAAUGUUAUUCUAUCUGUUCUUAAUGAGUUUUAGAUAAUUUUAGUUGUAUUUCUUUGUAAUUUUGUGUUGUACAAAGAUUAAUUUAACAUUUUCUCUGGAAGUAUUAAUUUAGAAAGAUAAUAUGCUUCAAUGGUGUUGUGUUUUGAAGUGUGAAAUGCAAAGUACCUAAUUGUGAUAAAGUCAAGAUAAAGUUCACUUUUAAACUGAACUAAAUAAGGUAUCUGAGAGACAACAAUGGUUAAAUGCAAUACAAUGUACAGGUUUUACUAGCGAAAUGAAAAUUUUCCUGUCCUGUCUGCUGUAAUCAUUUUAUAUCUGGAAAACCAGCCGACUUAAUCGAUAAUAACAAUCUCCAGAUUGGGUUCCUUCAAUAAAUAUGGGCUAUAAACACAAUGAAAUAAGUUCCCCAAAAUCUAAACUGGAGUGGUAUCAAAGGAGAAUUAAAGGAAAAAAUAUUCAUAUUGAAAUUAUUUAUAAGGCACUGGACUGUCUUAAAUUCUACAAUAAUACUAGAAUCAGCUGAGAGAAGUGGUCUACAAAAAACCAGGAAGGAAACGGAAUAUGUGGCUACGAAAGGCAAAAGAAAAGUUUACAAAGCAAAUGUGACACAUUUUUUUGAAAUAUUUAGGAAUAUUAGUAAAUUGCAUUAAAAAAAUGUAUGAAAAGAUUUUGUUCAAUAAAAAUGUUUAUAUUUA